AUUGAACGCUGGCGGCAGGCCUAACACAUGCAAGUCGAACGAGUGGCGGACGGGUGAGUAAUGUCUGGGAAACUGCCCGAUGGAGGGGGAUAACUACUGGAAACGGUAGCUAAUACCGCAUACCAUCGGAUGUUCCCAGAUGGGAGUAGCUAGUAGGUGGGGUAACGGCUCACCUAGGCGACGAUCCCUAGCUGGUCUGAGAGGAUGACCAGCCAAACUGGAACGGAGACACGGUCCAGACUCCUACGGGAGGCAGCAGUGGGGAAUAUGGCACAAUGGGCGCAAGCCGGAUGCAGCCAUGCCGCGUGUAUGAAGAAGGCCUUAGGGUUGUAAAGUACUUUCAGCGGGGAGGCGGUAACCGCAGAAGAAGCACCGGCUAACUCCGUGCCAGCAGCCGCGGUAAUUC
rnacentral:rRNA from 1 species